GAAUGCCGCUAAUUACUAAACCCUAAUUCCUUUACUCCCUAUUUAACCCACUCAACUCCUAUUCUCUUGCUCGGAUUUCCGCCUCCAAAGCUUUCCUUAUCAUCUAUCCCUGGUUUUCUGCUUCUCUUCUCCUUUCUAUACAAGUACAUUUUUAAUUUGCUGCGCCUAUUCAAUUGAUUCUUUGAUCAUCUCUAAAUAGCUCCUGCAAAUUUCCAUGUUAUGCUUUUAUUUUGGUUGCAUCUGUUUACCCUCUCCUUUUGUAGCAAAGAUAGGAAAAAAUGCCAAAGGAGAUAUAACGGAUGCAAACAAUAAAAGUGAAGAGUUGUUUGAAAUUUUCUAUGAUGAGAAGAAGCAGACGGGCGGUCUGAAUCUGAUGCCAUGUUGUAUGUCUGCAAUUAUCCACUUGUGGAUUUUCUCUGAGCUUUUCAUUAUUUCAAACUUUCUCUGAUUUCUAAUCAUAUUUUUUUUAGUUCAUGGUUUGAAACUGAAAUAAAAUACAAACUCUUUUUCAAUGCAAUGAUGAAGUUGCUUCAAUUAUGUCUGGACAUAUGAACUCAGCUUAUGAUUAGCUACGCAUCUUCUGAGCAUUACUGUAUAUUUGUCAAUAAACUGUAUAUUCAAAGGUAUGAAAUAUUGAGAGUAUACCCACCUGUAUCAAGAAAUUCAUACAAUAUUGUUAUCCACGGGUUUGAAAGGAAACGGCAGUUUGGGCAGGUGUUUCUCCUUAGAAACCAAAGAUCAAUACAUUGUGUAUGGAAUAUGUGACUACAAACGGGCAAAAUCCUACAUCGUUCCCCCACCUGAAAACCAUCCAGGCAGACGUUGCACAUCAUUGUCGUUGCUGAAGCAUGAUUUUCUUGAGAAUAAUAGAACCUAGGGAGUUGCUCUAUCUCUUCCAUCGACAAACCUGAUUCAUUGCCUUCUUUGCUGCUUUCUUCGUCAUUGGAGAGUAGGUAAAAUAUUACAAGAUAAAUCAUAAAAAGGAUCGUAAUUACCAGAAAGGGAGAUGGGAGAGAAGGAAGCAUUUCCAGGGAUGAAUAAGUUUUGGAGAGGAUUUAAAGCCUGAAAUUGGCAUGUAAAACGUUGAUUGGGUUUUUAUGCGUUAAGCUAAGUUUGACUCGAAAUUGAAUUAGAAUAAUCACGUUCCUUUGCCUUGAGAUUUACUUAAGAGUGAGAAGCUUAUGUAGUCUUUUCUAUGGAUUCUAAGGAACAAGCCAUCAGGUAAACAGCUUUGCCAGUCCUUUCAUGAUAUUGAAGCAAUUCCAGUAACUUAAGUGGCAUAUCUAAAAUAACAAGUGGAUAUAUGACAUUUGACUUAGAAUUAAAAAUGCUCUCAUAAUGCAAUUCUAGUGUCAUAUGGAAGAAAAGAAAGCGAGGAAGAAGAGCUCUGUUGGAGCACUAAGAAGUUGAAGGACAUGGGGACGAACUGAGCAAAAGGCUUGUCUCUUAUAAGGAUUUGUUUCUAGGUCUAGGAUAAUGUAGCAGCAGACUGAACAGUUUGCUUGAGAAAGAGAUUAAACAAAUGGUCAUGGAUUUGACAAAUGAUGAAUCUGCGACUGAAAAUGAAGCUAAGGAGGGUGAAAUCAAGAUUUGCCACUCUCACUCUAAAGAUGGGAAGGAAACUAUCAAAGGGAGAUGGUGAAACACUCUCAUUGAUAAGGUUUUCAACAACCGGAAAGGGGAGAUGAAACUCAUUGAUUUAGGGCAUUCUUUUUUCCUUACAGAAGUUGGAUAGAAUCAUUUGAAAAUGUAAUGUUAAUGGGAAUUUCUUCGUUAAUUCACCCUAUAAUCUUUUACAGAAGUUGGGUUCAAAAGAGAAUUCUACUUGAAAUCCACAAAGUAGCGUUUGGGUUAAUUUAUGGAAGCUUAAAUUCCGGCAUAAGCUUAUUAAGUCUUCCUAUGGAAAGUGUGCCAUAAGAGGAUCUCGGUCAAAGAGAUCCUUAGAUCUGACAAUGAUGGAGAAACUGAGGACCAUUGUCAAAGCCAUCUUGUUUGGGAGGACCAUUGUCGUUGAGAAUUCAUGCCUUUAGCUAUGAUUUGAUCUCGAAUUGAAUCUUUUAAUGGUUGCAAAGAGAUAAUUUAAAAUGUUCUUCUAUCAUUGAAGUCUGACUGACAAUAAGGAUAUGUUAUCCUUCCAAUGUAGGAAACAAAGAGCUAGUGAUUGCAGGUUACAUUGAAUUGAAGGAGGUUUGAAUGUCAUUUGGACUCUUUGGAAGAGCGAUUUUGGAAACCGAUUGUAUAAGUGAAUGUAUCUUUACAAUUGAACUUUCAUUUGGUGAAUAUAUGUUAAUUGAAAUUGCAUGGUAAA